rnacentral:rRNA from 1 species
UACGGGGGGUGCAAACGUUGCUCGGAAUUAUUGGGCGUAAAGCGUACGUAGGCGGUCCAGCAAGUCGGGUGUGAAAGCCCUCGGCUUAACCGAGGAAGUGCAUUCGAAACUACAGGACUUGAAUACUGGAGAGGAUUGCGGAAUUCCCGGUGUAGAGGUGAAAUUCGUAGAUAUCGGGAGGAACACCAGUGGCGAAGGCGGCAAUCUGGACAGAUAUUGACGCUGAUGUACGAAAGCGUGGGGAGCAAACAGG